UUUCAAAUUAAAGACAAGGGGCAAAAUGAAAAUCUUGUUCCUUUUACCUCCGAUUACGUGAGAUUGAACCGUUGGAUCGAACCGUGGUGGGAGUAUGUUGAUCAUCGCGUUGCUUCUUACCUGUUGACCGUUCGGAUUGAUGAACGGAGCCUCUGGCCACCAAGAGUCAUCGUUGUCGAAAGAAUUUGAUUUAGAAAAGGAGAAAUGUGUGCUUGAUGAACAAGGACUCAGAAUAGCUGAAAAUCAGGAAAACAGCCAGAAAAAUAGGCGGUAGCUUGCUGAACGUACAAGAGAUUUCAAGAAAGCUUCACCUGAGGAAAAAAUAAGUUUAUUUAAUUCAUUACUUAAGGGUUACCAAGAAGAAGUUGAUAAUCUUACCAAGAGAGCAAAUUUGGUGAGAAUGCUUUUCUAAACAUCUACCAAAAGCUUUAUGAGGCUCCUGAUCCUUAUCCUGCUCUUGCUUUGAUUUCUGUAAGUAUUAGCUCUGAUAUAUUGUACCUCUGAGAAGGAGAUCCCUCUAAAAUUUGCAUUCUAUCAGUUGCAUGCCUGCCUAAAUUUUGUUUUAAAUUUAUUGGGUUUCUUUAAUGUCGACCAAUGGGCAAUGAUUUCUUUUUGUGAGAUGGUAGUAACACUAAGGACCAAACAAUAAUUAUAUAUUUUUUUUGGAUUCAAAUAAAGCAAUCUUGGGGGUAGUAUUUUGGUGACAUUAAUUAUGCAAGUAUAUGCAAAUGGUCUAACAAAACAUCAGUUUUUUGAACCUGGUAUGGUACCAAAGAAAGACGAUACAUCCACUGGCAUGGUACUGUGUAAUAGCUCUUAAUGAACCUGUUCUUUGAAUUCUGUUAUUAUUUUAGGCGAUGUAUAAAUUUUCUACUACAUGAAGGGAGCAAUCGUUGCAAGAUCAAUUACGGCAAGCUAAAGAAAGUGUAUCAAAUAUGCAAAAACUGCACGAACUUGCACAAAGCCAGUUGUUUGAACUUUGUGCUCAAUCUGGUGAUAGGCUGACCUGGUUGUUCUGUUUUACAAUUCUGUUGUUUGACUCAAUUAAUUUUCGAAGAAAUUUCAUUCACUUUUUUUGGUUACGUUUUCCCUUAUUGCUAUCUGCCUUUCUUCUGUCUUACACUAUCUUUAACAAUACAGAGGAAGAUCGGGCAGCAAAGCAGUCUGAAAUCAACCUUUUGAUGGAUGAAAUAGAGCGAGCCCAAACACGGCUUUUUAGUCUAGAGAGAGAGAAGGUAAAGUGAAAACAUGAUAAAUUAGCUUAUUUUGAUGCAAUAAACGUGUCAUAGUUUAAGAUCUUGAUUUGCCAAUAUGACAACACAGAGUAGUGGGGAGUGUCGUUGCAUAGGCCUAUCAACACUGACCUAGUUGUUAAUAAAGGGUCACAACUGCCUUUGUCCAACUUGGAGCUAUGUGGCUUCCAAUCACUGUAAUUAUGACUUAACUAAAUGAUUCAAUUUGUGUUGUGCUACUUAUAAAUGUCUAGUAGAUCAUGCUUGCAAUUA